rnacentral:lncRNA from 1 species
CUCCCCCUGUAAUUUUGCCUCGGACCAUCAGAACAGCGUGCAGCAGGACACUGCUGGAUCUUGGUGGAAGGCCUGUCCUAAUUUAUCAGAGGGGGAAUGCUUUAAUUGGCCUGCCUCCUCCUCCCUCAUUUCCCUGAGUUGAAGCUGCAGGCCCUUGCUCAGUCACCACAGUCACCCGCCUCUUCCACUCUAUGAAUUAGCUGUGGUGGAAAUGUUGUACGACCCCAUGUUUGUUCCUAACAAUCCAUGCGAAGACUGUGAUCCUGAAAGAGUUCAGAGGACAUCAAAUCUGUGGCAGAAACUCAUAAGAACAGCACCUGAAAAGUACACCAGUGCACUAGCAGCAACAUAUGAAAGAUACGAGGAGCAACAUAGAAGAUCCCUAUUUUUUGAACUCAUUAUUACGCUUCAAAACUUUGAACAACAGUUACCCCCGUCUCAUGCUUAAAUUUUAGCCAUCUCCUUAUUCACCUGCUCAAGCAAAUAAUUGUAGGAAAUCUGUGUCUCAUGCUGUUACAUGAGCAUGGAGAAGACAUGAAGAAGUGGCAUAAAAAACCCAAUCCUGUACUACAAGCAUGGAUGAGAGAAUUACAAAACAGAACAACCACCAAGGCAAUUGCUCCAGUUACUGCGGGUCCUGAUCACGACUCACAAGAGAACAACAACUCAUGUAACAAAGAGAGGGGCUCUGCCAUCAGAUUGGGGGGGAGGAAGGGAUAGUAGAGUGUAUUGGCCUGUGUAAAUUCAAUGGCCUGGCACAUCAGAACCACAGAAAUAUAAGGCAUUGGUGGACAGUGGUGCGCAGUGCGCUCUAAUGCCCUCAAGUCACGAAGGCACAGAACGGAUUUGUAUUUCUGGAGUGACUGGGGGCUCUAAAGAAUUGACUGUAUUGGAGACUGAAAUACGCCUCACUGGUAAAGAUGGGCAAAAGCAUCCCAACACCAUUUCAUAGUGGGAGAAGCAUAGAGGAAGCAUUUAUACCAUAUAGAAGUAAAUUGCUAUUUGCAUGUCAGAAAAUGGCUGUAGGAAACAGGAAAACAUAAAUUAUUCAGAACAGCGAAUAAACAAGAAGGGAAUUUUCCCAAUUUUUGAAAAGAAAUAGGUUACCUGCAAGCAAUGAGUCCACUAUUUUUCACUCAUAAAGCAAUUGCUAUAUCUUCCACUAUAUGAAGUGUGCGUACCAAAUCUGAUACACUAGGUUGAUUACUGCAAGACUGAGCAAAAUAGGGAGCUUUUACAAAGGGCCUUGACUUCUAACAAAUGCCAAUUCAACCUAUAGAGGAUAUUCAACUUUGCCUUUGAAAAAUUACCA